rnacentral:rRNA from 1 species
AUACAGAGGGUGCAAGCGUUGUUCGGAAUCAUUGGGCGUAAAGCGCGCGUAGGCGGUUUUUCAAGUCGGAUGUGAAAGCCCGGGGCUCAACCCCGGAAGUGCAUCCGAAACUGAAUGACUUGAGUCCCGGAGAGGGUGGCGGAAUUCCUGGUGUAGAGGUGAAAUUCGUAGAUAUCAGGAGGAACACCCGUGGCGAAGGCGGCCACCUGGACGGUGACUGACGCUGAGGCGCGAAAGCGUGGGGAGCAAACAGGAUUAGAAACCCCAGUAGUCC